ACUUGAUCCAGUAUAGAUGCUUACCAUGCCUGUACUGUGGCUAACUCCAUGAUUGUAUCAGGACUGAUUGCCCAAACUUAAUGGUCCAUGCCUGAUAUCAGGCAUGAUCAACCAUGGCUGUGUACAUGUGUAUUCUCCUUAUUUUUGUCAUACAUGUAGCCUUAUCUUUGUCUUAUGAUGAUGGAAUACUUUCUCACACUCCAGUUGACUUAUGUCAGGCACAAGUCACUAUGUGAUUUGAGGUACAUAUGGAAACUUCUCCGAUUAAAGGUGACCAUGUGACCACCAGUGACCUGACUGACCUUUGGCGACCCAUACCAUCAUAUUGUUUCCCAUAGUAAAGCUAGUGUCUGAUCCUGAAGCAUCAGUUUAUGACACUGUUGGUGAACAGAUCAACAGAUAUGAAUGGCGUGCCAGUUAUGAUCCAUCUCAAACUGGUUAUGUUGAUAAACCUCAAGGUGAUGAAGACUCUUUGAAAGGUACAUAUCAGAAGGUUACCUCUGAUGACCAGCAGGUAUAAAGGCUACCUCUGACGACCCCCCCCCAUGUUGUACAUUACUAUAAUAACAAAAUGUGCACUUGAUUAGAUUAAGAUUUUGCUACUGUACCUUCAGGAAAUUGUGCAGCUGUUUUUCUUACCUUGUAUUUUAUUCAUUCAUCUCUAUAUUGUGUUAGCCUUUCAUCUAGAGGUAGUUAACUUAUACCAGGCACAUACAGCUCACUGAUUGAUGAAAUAAAAUCAUCAGAAGUCUUUUUGGCUGUGCCCGCUGUAUUGUGUUGGCUGAACUGCCAAUGCUCUGAUGCCAUGUAUUUCUAUUUCUCCCACUGCUUCUCUUGUCACCCAUCCAGAUUCUCCAUGCAUAUGUCAUGACAUUAAAGGUCUCGGAAUGGGCACAACUGUAACAGCAUGUUCUUGGUGGUCUUGCCAGAUUCUUGGCUCAGAACUGAAUUCUAGACUUAUUAUUACUGACUGAUGUGCUAUUAAUGUUUGUGUACAUUUCAUUGUAAUACGUGUAUUAAUUAACAAUAACUUUUAAUUAACAAUAA